AACAACAAAUGCUUUGAAAGUCUAACAGACCUGGAUUUAAUUCUAACACCCCAAUACUGUCUGGGUGAUGCUGGCCACAAUACACAAGAUCUUUGGUCCUCAGUUUCCUCAUCUGAAAAAUAUUAGCACCUGCCGCAAAGGACUGAUAUAAGGACAAAAUUAUAGUAAGCGCAUGAAGCCCAAAGAACACUGCUGGAGACACACUAGGCAUUCAAUAAGUGGUAGUUAUCACUCCUGCCCCAUUCUAAAAAUAUAAAAAGGAAGAAGUUAUACUUCAAUAUAACUUAUUUUUUUUUAAAUAAAAAUGAAAGCAUGAAAGACUCUACAGACUGACCCGAGGCUGGGAGAGGGGGCAUAGUGAGGGGAGCAAGGUACAAACUUAAAUGUGAAUUUUCCAGCACCCUUUUUAAUGAUGAGAUUUUUUUGCUUUAGGAAACUAAAGGCUAAUCUGUCACUUAAGAUGGAAAAUUAAAGCCUUUUCCUAUUGUGGUAAGUGUCUCAGUGCUGCAUGGAACUAUUCCCUCUCUUUAUCUACAAACCUCUAGCACUUUUACUAUUCAUGAAAAAUAGGGGUUUGGUUUUUUUUUUUUUUUUUUCUAAAGCAAGUUUUACAUCUGAAGCAAAGUUUUAUUUUCCAGGCAGUCAGUCUGUCCUUCUGUACUAAGGAGCCGUGUUUAGGUUUCGGCAAUUCAUGUCGGAAAGCAAGUGGAUGUUCGUUUGCCCAGCUGGUGUCCUUCCUGCUCAGUGGCCCUAUUUUCAGAUAUUUGGACCACCAAGGGACUUCUGACCAGUUUGGCUUUGGACCUUAGGCUGAAGGCAGGGAGCCUCACGCUGUGGGUGGGAGAGGACAGCAGCAUGUCAGGUGGACAGCUGCUUGGUGGGCAUAAGGAAACCCUGCACCCCCGCGUCCUGACACUCUGGUUGGAAACAGCAGUUCAGACGGUCCCACGGUCCUGGGAAUCUACUGGCCUCACACUGGUCAACAGAUGUCAAGAAAACCAAAAUACCAAGCCUAUCAUGACCAAUUUUUCACUUCUUUGAUUAUUCUGGUAUCAGCCAGACCACCUCAGUCUCUGUUGCUUUUUGUUUUCCAUUUCCAUCUUUGAAAUUUGAAUAAUGUCAGUCAUCCAAUAACACCUACAAAGUAGUUUGAAACACUUUGAAAGUUGUUUCAUGGCGCUGCUUUUUCAAACCCUAGUGGUCUGCUUUCUGAUAAGAAUAAUUGAUACCUGCAUGGUGAUUUACACUCAUUCUCCCAUACGGAGCUUCACAGCUGCCCUGUAAAGUUGACUGGCUAAGGAUUCUUAUCUCCAUUUUAUAGAUGAAAAAUGUAAGGCUUGAUUCCUCAGAACUCUCAAAAAAAGAUCAAGUCAAAGAAUGUGACCCCAGUCAUUUUUCUAGCCGUAGUCUUAUUUAUUUUUUACUUUUGCUAACUAACAUCUUUGAAAGUUUUUUAGCCCAACAUGGAUUAUUUUCGAAGGAAAAAAACAAUAUAAAUGACUUAACAUGACACAAUGGUUACAAAGUAAAUAGAGCUUAAUUGAGUAAUCAAGUCAACAUUUCUGCCCACAGGCUAUAUGGGGAAGAACAUUCAUUUACUGUCUGGAUUUUGGCUUGGUUCUCUAAAGGACAGGAGACAAGAUUAUUUUAUUUUCUUUUUAGCUAGGUUCAAGCAGGCAAUACCAAGUGUAGCCAAGUGUAUUAAAAGAAACCCCCCCUCGGCAGAUUGGCAGUGUGAAUAUUUCAUGAAAUUAUCACAACACUAUGUUCUGAAAUGGUGGUUUCCCCCAGGGAUCUCAAAGGCCACAUCUUUAAGGGUGAGUCUAGCUCAUGCCCCUGUCUUAAAGCUAGAGAUCAAGUCAGCCUAAAAGGCCUUCCAGUUUUCAAUUUAUAAGAGCAUCAAACAAGUCAGCCAACAAACACUUCAAGGAUGAUGGGAAUGUCAGAGGCAGGUCCUAGAUGAAUUCCUUUCCAUGUGCUGAUUUAAACCAGGGCUCCUUAUUUAAACGUCUCCUGGGCAGAGCCCUGUCAUAGAAGACCAGCCCUGACAAAGAAGCAAGGAGAAGCCUUUGUUCUUCCAACUCAGGUAGAGUCCACGGCAGCCGGUCCUCUGGCCAGCCUGCAACUUAAAUGUCCCCACGGUUUCUACCCUGCAGUGAUGUGACUCCAUGCACUGGCCAACAGCAAAGCCAGUCCACGAAGAACUGCCAACAGUUCGCCAAGGGAAGUCCUACAGAACAGCUCGCCUCUCAUCACCCCACUCCCUCACAGAGGCUGAAAUGAGCCUAGAGCGGGACAGAAAGGAAGUACACAAAUAAAAACAGCUUGGAGCUAUAUCUGUUUGCAGACGGAAUAGUGAUCUGAAUUUUGUUGGAGGUCCUUGUGGACAUGUAUGAACUUUUACUCUGCAGCCUGAGAAAUUAUUUUUAAACCUUUCCAAUGAUAGCUACCCCCACCCCACUCCAACUCUGUUUCCAAAUCUAACAUCUCAGCAGUGAUUUUAAGUCAGUACAAAGGUGGGAUUGGACAGAGGUAGAAUAGGGAGAGGUUGAAAGGUUGAUUAAGCAAAAUUUUACCAGAAAUACUAAGCAAUGCUUUCUUAUCAGGUUUAACAUAUACCAAGUGUGGUCAAGAGAAAGCAGGAGGAAAAAGAGCCUGAAGACCUUGUUUUCUGUCACAUCCGUGCCUGAGUGACUGACUCUUUAGGAGCCUUUGUUUUCGUAACUAGAAACAGAGUUUGUCCUAAGGUUCCUUAAAAUGCUUUGAUCCUAGAAAGUAAAUUCCCAGAGACAUUACAUUUAUUCUACGUAUGUUUGACAAACCCUUCAAAGCUCAUGAAUCUAGAACCACCCCCUCCCCACCCUCUCUCUGUGUCUCUCUCUCACACACACACACACACACACACACACACACACACACGCACACAGUGCAGCAAGAAGAUGUUUUUAAGUGAACAUGUUAUGGACAGCAAUGGUCUGGUGAGGUUUUGGGAAGGGGAGGAACUUUUGGCUUCUUGCCAGUUAAUCCACCCUUUCCUCAUUCUCUGGCUCUGAGCCAGAUUUACUAUUCUUUUCAUUCCCUUGGUCUCUGGGGAAGGGCCUAUUUUCAACCUCUGUUUGACUCCCCAACUCCAGGCCCAAACUGCUUUCCUUAUGUCCCUUAAAUCCCCACUUGAUUUAAUUCAGUUCCGCAAGUUGUAACUGUGUUCCCCAAACUACCCCCCCACCCUGGACACAUCCCGGUCAUCUGGGCCUCUUCCUGCGUCCUUCUCCCAACAGCUGGCUUCCUGAAGCUCCCAGCCAUUUCACAACUCUGCUCCUCUACUCCCCUCCUGGGCCCCCACCCACACAGGGCACAGACUACAACUGCAGCAUGGCUCUCAGGGUCCCAAGCCUCCUAGGAACCCGAGACUCUGCUCCAGUUGCCUUCUUGCCACGAGCACCUACCUCCAAGUGCUCCUACACCAUGGAGGGAAAGAAGCCAGGUCUGUGGCAAUGUUCUAGGUGUGCACCUCCUAGGGUCAGUAAAGCCUCAUCUUGAAUACAGAAUCACUCCAUCUGGGAAUUAAAAUACAUCGAAGACCUUUCCUGUAGUACCUAGGCUAUUGGUUCAAACCAUCACAUUCACCACUUCAGCCCUCCAUGCUGCUUUUCUGACCCAGGUUCAGUUAAAGUCUAUGGACCUGGGUUUAGAACAGCACUGAAAAUCAUUCCAUUUUCCCAGAGGGAUCCUGUCACUUUUACUUGUUUUAUACAGUAUCUAACCUUGAGGUACAUGUAAACAGGUGUUUACUAAAUUAUUUUCAUAAUGACAGCCAUGGCUUGGAGUGUUGUUUCAUUAUCAGAAUGUUUAGCACUCAUGUUGCUAAAUAUUCAGCACCUGAUAUUUUGCAAAACAAUUCCCCAUGCCUUUUUUUUUAAAUCAGUCUUCUGCUCUCCUCCACAGUGCCCAGCAUUAACUGAGGCAACAGUGAAGAUGGGAUCUAAAAACAGACUAAAUUAGUGUGAUCAUUUGCUAAUUGGCUUUGCUCUUAAGUCUUCAGGUGUUUCCCAAACAAUCUAUCAGUUUUCUUUAGUCCAUACUGGAAAAUAAAAUUGUCUCUUACUUUUGAAUGCAGAGCACUGAUUUUGGAGUCCCAGCAAGGAAAAGUGGGGAUGACGCCAGCUGACCUGUUACUACCAUGUAACAAACAGAUGCCUCACCAGGCAGGAAGAAUUACUGAAAAGGAAGAAAACGCUAUGGUCCACUCAUUCACCCCUUCUUAACCUGAUAGCAAGAGGUUCUCAGACCUCACAGAAUUUGCCACAACAACUAAGAAGGCCAACUGAAGGGAUAGAAAAGAAACAACCAAGAGUUGGAAAACAUCACUGAAAAUUAGAACAAAUCUCAGUUACUGACUAACCUGGGUCUCGGGAGCUCUUCUGCCAUUACCCAGCAUGAGCCCAGCCAGACUCAUAAACAGAAAUCAGCUGUGAAGUGUACCCAGUUGUUUUUGUGGUUUUUUUUUCCCCUAAUAAAGUUAGGAAAACGCCUUCUUGCCUUUGAGCUGACAAGCUCUGUAACCCUAUAGGUUAGGGUUUCCAAAUCCCAAAUUUCUGGUCACCUCAUAUUCCACUGGGCUUGGGAAGUCCUGGCCCCUCUGGUUACUAAAACAUCUAUGGUAAAUCAGGGAGAAAAUUAAUAUACAGCCAUAACAAGUUCAGCUAAUCACCCAAAAGGCUCCCUCAAGGCUGAGUAGGAUGCUGUUUUAGAGGUAAACAGAAGUCUGAGGUAAGAGUGUGCAAAAGUGGGAGAAAUCCAAAGUGGGUUUUCUUUACCAGAGGGUGGCAAGGUCACUGAGGGCCUCAGUCACACUGGGGGGUCCUCUGGUGUGUGUGCUGGCACGGGAACACACACUGGUCUUUGGGGUUCUCUGCACUGGGGCAGGUAUAGGCAUAAGCAAAGAGUCACAGCACACAGGAAAUUCUCUCCAAACUCUCCCAAUAUCUUUCCUCACCAAACCCAGGGAGACUGCCCCUUUCCUGACUCCUAAGCCCUGGAAUGCCACCUACUGGGAGAGGCAGAAAGCACAUCCACUUUAGGUCUUCUAGGUCUGCAUUCAUUCGUUCUCACCAGCAUGCAUUCAUUCAUGUAUCAAGGGCCUGAAUGAGUGGGGACCUGUGCCAGAAGUAAGGGUACAAAGAUCAGCAGGGCCUCAAAAUCCCCAUUCGGUAUGCUUCAGUGUUAAGUCCAAAGUCUUAUAUACAUAGAUGAACCCACCUAGGACAAUGUUCACUCAAAGAAAAAAAUGCAGGAAGAGUUCAAGUCAUCACCAAGACUCUGAGAGGCAGCUGCAGGGGCUAACAGCUCACCGUUUCAUCUGCAAAGUACUAUACCUGUAACAUCUACUUGUAGAGAACAAUUCUCCACUUAAUAUGAGGUAGAAAUGUCCAAACAGUCUUAGGGGGCUGCAUUACCAAUAUUCCUCUCCACAACUCACUGGGUCCCCAAAGUGCAUUAAACUCUUGUGUAAUCUGAAAUCUUUUCCUUAUUCAGUGUGUGUGUGUGUGUGUGUGUGUGUAUGUGUGUGUGUGCGUAUGUGUGUGUGCGCGCAUUUAAAUGCUCUUAGCAUGUGCUCUAUGGAAAUAAUGAAUAAUUGGUUCUUGUAAUAUAGUUUAUUAUGUAGUAUUCUGAUACACUGUAAAUUAUCAGAGCAAUACUAGGAAUGAUAUUUUGAGCCUCAAUAGCCCCUUUUCUCCAGUUUCCUCCAUGCAGUACCCAGAGAAAGAGAAGCUAAUGUCAUGCUUUCUAUAACCCACACAAGCUAAGGUGCAAGCAACAUUGUCUAUGACCAUUUGUAAAGAGAGUUAACUGUGAUCAUUAUUAUUAUUAUUACUUUACUAUGAUGAUUACUAUUCUGCCGUAUUGCUAAGUAGUUAAAAGAAAAGCACAGUAUGUCUUCCCUCCCAGAACACAUGUUUCUCCCCUCUGCCUUGUCUCCAGCAGAUAAGGGACAUUCUGAUGUUUUAUUUGCUAACUGGUUGACUAUUAAGAAACUCAUUUGCUAGCUGGAGCCUGCAAUGGAAAAUCAGCCCAGAAAAGCGGGAGGUUGGCGUGGGACCGAGUAGAUAGGGCACCAGAAGUGAGGCAAGGCCCACAUGAGCCACUCCCAGCCUGAAGCCCAGGGUCAAAAGCCAGUCCUUCAGUGAACCUUCAGGCUAUCCCAAUGCACUGGCCACCGGUCUCCAUAUCCCAACUCUCAAUGCACACGCGCGCACACACACACACACACACACACACACAGCACUGAAAAGCUGGGGAGAAAGGGCCAGUGCAUCCAGUGCCUUCAACUCUGUCAGGAAGAGAAGAAUGUAAAGCCCCACCAUUGGCAACUUUUUCAGUUCUCCACUCUUUGGUUCGCCACCAUCACUGAUCUGAGGUGUAUACUUGAACUAAGAAAAAGACUACAAAGGCUUCACACCAAAAUGUUGACAAGAGCUUUCUUUGGGAAGUAGGAUCACAGGUACAUUCUUCUUUUUUUCUGUAUGACCCAAGGCUGCCAGGGAAGAAAUGAAUCAGAAGGCUCUGCCUCAAUGUGCCUUCCAAGAAGUUACCUACCCUCUGUACCUCAGUAAGGCCAUGUGCAUCAGUGAAGUGGCACCAUUGGAACAUCGGUGCAGCGGUUUUGCAUCAGGACAACUUAACUAAUUCCUUCCUAGAAUUACCUUCUGUAUGUAGUUCCUCAGGAUUGCCUACAACAGAUAUUUGUGGAGCAUUCGGAAGGUAGAAGUGAAACGGCAGCUUUCAUGUUGUGAAGGUCAGUGUGUGGCUACGGGGGCUGCUUCAAACUUGUCAACACAUUGUGACCCAUCUGGGGACUUUCCCUGUUGGUGUGGGCCCACAGCCUUCCCCAGCUCCUGCCACAUCUUCCCCUUCAGCUACUCUGAGUCUGGAGCAAAGCUUAUGUCCCGUUCUGUGGUAAAGGGUACCAGCUUUUGGUUUCAAAGUCAAGGCUGAAAGUGGCAAGAGAAAAAUAAAAGUUACUUUGGGGGUUUCACUUUCGCCUCACUCUCUCCCACCUCACAUCUGGCUUUUCUUCCAGACUUCUGGCCCUGCUGAUCUAUAGCUACUUCAGACCCAUCACUGGAGUGCACUUCUCAAUUACUCUGUACCUGUACACACUGUGGGACUAGUUCCGACUAAUGAAAUCUGGUGCAGCUACAAGACUGAGAAGCAUCCAUCAGCCUAGAUCCCUGAGUGACUUUGUGCAGCAGAACCUCUCCCACAAACCCCCUCUGGAUAUAUAGAAUGAGCAAGAAAUAAGCAU